UAACUCUGGUUUCCCUUCAAACGCCUUAAUCUUUGCCUUUUACAAAAAUUUCCGGGAGGGGAACAACCAAUGGUCUUACUCAAAUUUUUUUUAUAGCCCCCUUCGGUGGGUUCA